rnacentral:rRNA from 1 species
AUUAAACGUUGGCGGCAUGCCUUACACAUGCAAGUCGAACGGUAGCGCGGGGCAACCUGGCGACGAGUGGCGAACGGGUGAGUAAAGCAUCGGAACGUGCCCUGGAAUGGGGGAUAACGUAGCGAAAGUUACGCUAAUACCGCAUAUUCUGUGAGCAGGAAAGCAGGGGAUCGCAAGACCUUGCGUUCUGGGAGCGGCCGAUGUCGGAUUAGCUAGUUGGUGGGGUAAAAGCCUACCAAGGCGACGAUCCGUAGCGGGUCUGAGAGGAUGAUCCGCCACACUGGGACUGAGACACGGCCCAGACUCCUACGGGAGGCAGCAGUGGGGAAUUUUGGACAAUGGGCGGAAGCCUGAUCCAGCCAUGCCGCGUGAGUGAAGAAGGCCU